rnacentral:rRNA from 1 species
UACAGAGGGUGCAAGCGUUAAUCGGAAUUACUGGGCGUAAAGCGUGCGCAGACGGUUGCGUAAGUCAGAUGUGAAAGCCCCGGGCUCAACCUGGGAAUUGCAUUUGAGACUGCGUAGCUAGGGUGCGGAAGAGGGAAGCGGAAUUUCCGGUGUAGCGGUGAAAUGCGUAGAUAUCGGAAGGAACACCAGUGGCGAAGGCGGCUUCCUGGUCUGCAACUGACGCUGUGGCGCGAAAGCUAGGGGAGCAAACGGG